UUCCUGCCUAUGCUAUGGCUGGAUGAACACAGAUGUGAGGGGAUUUGAACCAUCUACAAUCAAUCCAUAUGUGACCAAUGGAGGAGAAGCAGCCCAAAAAGACGAAGGAACCCUCAAAAGAAGAUGAGACUCAGCAGAAGGAGAUGCCAACCCAUUUGUCCUUAGGAGCAGAGUCAAAGGCAGAGCAAGGCAAUGUACUUCUAUAGAAGGGUGCGCCCUUACAGACGGAGCAAUGGCUAAAACUCCAGUUCUGGUUGAGACACAGACAGUGGACAAUGCCAAUGGGAAAUCAGAAAAAUGUUUGCUGUGAUCACCUCUCAACCAAACUACUCACACUUGAAUCCUUAUUUCAGAAUCUGCUUCUAGUGCAACCCAAAGUACAAGUGUAAAGAAAAUAAUUAAUUAUGCUAAUGGCAUAGAAAUGAAGAUGUUUCAGCAUUGGAGAAAGAGAAAUAUAAAAUAACAAGUAAAAAUCUGUAAUCUUAAAUUUGAUUUGGAAAUUUUAAUAUAGACUCAUUUUUUUUCUUUUAAAAGAUAUUUUCUAACUCUGUUUCCUGAAAUGACCAACUUAAUAGCAACAAAAACUGACAGUAGACUGGGCGCGGUGGCUCACCCCUGUAAUCCCAGCACUUUAGGAGGCCAAGGUAGGCGGAUCACAAGGUCAGGAGUUUGAGACCAGUCUGGCCAACAUAGUGAAGCCCCAUCUCUACUAAAAACACAAAAAAUUAGCUGGGCGUGGUGGCGGGCACCUGUAAUCCCAGUUACUUGGGAGACUGAGGCAGGAGAAUUGCUUGAACCUGGGAGGCAGAGGUUGCAGUGAGCCAAGAUCACGCCAUUGCAUUCCAGCCUGGGUGACAGGGCAAGACUCUGUCAAAACAAAACAAAACAAAACAAAACAAACAAAACCCCAAAAACUCCUGACACCCAAGUUGUGGUUUGUAAACACCAUUUCCCACUAAAAGCAAUCAGAGGUCUUUGGAGAAGUGGCUGAUUUCAGGUCUAGUGAAGAAAAUGUACGCAAUGAACCUGAGUAUCUUAUACUAGAAAGAAAGGAAGAACGUUAUCAAAGACUACUCUGACUAUUUUAAAAGGAGACAGAAGCCAACUUGGAGGGGCUGCCAUGGGCCUAAAAUGGGAGAGUUUAAGAUUCAAAAGUAUAAUAUCAGUGGAAUAAAACAAAUCAACUAUGUUAAAAUCCAUAAUUUCAUAAUAAUAUUAAAAAGCAAAAAAAACUCACUAGUCAUUUUUAAAUUUUUUAUUAAUUUUUUUUUGUGAAGCACCUGCCUGCUAUUUAGUCAUUAGUCACUUCUGAAUGCCAGAUAAACAAUGGAAAACAAAGGGAAAGAAUCAAGGUUUUGAUCUUGUCUUUUCUGCACAAACUAUAUUUCAGGACAAUAAAAUUGUUGAUGAAUUGAUAAAUUGUUCUAUUUAGAGUAAUACCAACUAACAAAUGAAGAAAAAAGCGGAAGAAACAAAAUAUCAUUUGAAUCUGGACAGGGCCAGGUUUUAUGUGGCAUAUUUUAAAGGUGAUUGAUUGGUGAUGAGUUUACAAUUGUUGAAGCUAGCUGAUGGAUACCUGUGGGUUCAUUAUUCUCUUUACAUGUAUUUCUAAAAGGGGGAUAUUUUCCAUUUUUUUAAAAGCCCUUUAUCCUCAGGUUGCAGUAUGUGUAAAAGAAAAAAACCCUUUAAAAAGAAUAUCGUGGCUGCAGCUUCAAUUAAUGAAAUAAUAGCUUGAUGAUAUUAACCCUCCCAUAGAUAGCAAUAUAAAAUCUGGAUAAAAUAUUUUGAUAAAAAAGAACUAUUUGAAGGUACUGGAGAGUGGCCCAAAGGAGGCAGAAACUGGAGGAAAGUUGAGGUCUGAAACAUACAAACUGCACGGGUUAAGAAUAUUUGUAUCUUUUUUUUCUUCAGGACACUCCAAAUCCUCAUGGUGAAGGGUGGCAAAAAGCCAGUCUUUUUGCUUUAGGGUUCAGAAGACAGAAGUCAGCUAUGGCAGAGUGGCUGACAAAUGAGGGAAAGGGAGUAGAAAGUGAAAUCCAUGAAAGAAGGGAGCUUCAGACAGGACAAGCCCAGAAUCUGCGUGUAGGCUCUUCCCAACCACUUGGCUGACCAUUGAACAAUAAACAUGGGGGAGAGACUCCAGAGGACCCAGAAGAGAGACAAGCUGGUAGCUCAAAGAACUUGGCAGAGAUUUCAACUGUUGGCCACUGCAUGUGAGGCAAAAUUUGGAGUUAGAUUCCAAAAAAUUUAAAACCUGGUAGAAAAUAUAUCAACAUUCCUUAGAGAAAUAUAGCUGAAUCAAGGGUCUUAAUAAAAUGUUAUUUAUAAUGUUCACCACACAAAUAAAAGACUAUCAGAUGUAUGAAAACCCAGGAAAGUAUGACCCAUGGUGAAGAAAAAAAGUAGCCAAAAGAAGCAAAUCCCAAGAUAACAAAUAUUUAGAAUAAGCAGAUAAGGUCUUUAAAGCAGCCAUUAUAAGUGUGCUAGGGGACUUCAGAUGGGGAGUCACACUGGUAGAAUUAAAAUGAUAAAAAACAAAUAAUUGCAGAAUUAAGAAGCACAAUAACCAAAAUAAAAUAAAAUUCUCACUGGAUAGGUUUAUCAACAGACGGAAGACAAUAGAAAAAUGAGUCAGUGAGCCUAAAGAUAGAUCAAUACAAAUUAUCCAACUUGAAUAACAUGUAGAGAAUUACCUAAAAAAUUAGUGAACAAAGGCUUAGUGCUUUUUGGAACAAUAUUAAGUGAUCUAACAUAUAUGUAAUUAAACUCCAAGAAGAAAGGUAGAGAAAAAGCAAAGUAGAAAAAAUUUUGAAGAAAUAAUGGCUAGAAAUCCCUCAAAUUCAGUAAAAAAAACAAAGGAAAACAAACAACCAACUAACAACAAAAAACUCCAGUUAGAUUACAGUUGCAAGAAGUUCCAUGAAAUACAAAUUUAUCUGUCAAUUAAAAAGAAUGGGCCAGUUAUGGUGGCUCAUGCCUGUAAUCCUAACACUUUGGGAGGCUGAGAUGAGAGGAUCACUUGAGCCAGGAGUUUGAGACCAGCCUGGGUGAGACCCCAUCUCUACAAAAAAAUUUUUACAAAUUAGCUGGGCAUGAUGGCAAGCACCUGUGGUCCCAGUUCCUUGGGAGGCUGAGGUGGGAGGGUUGCUUGAGCCCAGGAGGUUGACGAUGCAGUGAGCUGUGAUCAUGCCGUUGCUCUCUAGCCUGGGUGACAGAGCAAGAUCCUGCCUCAAUUAAAAAAAAAAAGAAAGAAAGAAAGAAAAGAAAAGAAAAAAAGAAAAAGAAUGUCCACAAACCCCAAAUAAGAGAAAUACAAAGAAAUCUACAUUCAGGCACAUAAUAUUAAAACUGCCAAAAAUCAGAGAAAAAGAGAAAAUCUUAAAAACAGCUAGAAAAAGAACAUAUACAUAUAGGGACACCACAAUACAAAGUUGGCUGACUUUUAAUGAGAAACAAUGGAACCAGAAGACAAUUGAACAGCAACUCUAAAAUGCUGGGGGCUGGGAGGAGCCCUUAUGACCCAGAAUUCCAUAUCCAGUUUAACUGUCUUUCAAAAAUGAAAGCAAAAUAAAGACAUUUCCGGACAAAGACAGAGAUAAUUCAUCGCUAGUUGAUCUGUCUUACAAGAAAUCUAAAGCAAGUCCUUCAGCCUGAAAGAAAAUGACACCAGAAGAUGAUUCAAAUCUGCAGAAAGAAAUGAAGUACAUUGUAAAUAGUAAAUAUUUCAGUAACUAUAAAAUACUGAUAAAUAUGUAUUUUUCUUUUCUCCUUUUCAUUUCUUGAGAUGACAUAAGACUGUAUAAAGCAAUAAUUAAAACACUGUAUUUUGGGGUUUAUAACAUAUAUAAGGGUAAUAUAUAUGACAAUAAUAGCACAAAAAUGGGGAGAGAAAAUGAAACUAUAUUGGAGCAAAUUCACUAUAUUUAACCAGGAUUAAAUUAAUGUGGACCUGAACUAACUAACUAAUUGGAAUAAGUUAAAAUGAACAUUGCAACACCUUGAGCAAUCACUAAGAAAACAACUUAAAAAUAGUUUAAAAAUUAACAGGAAUUUAAAUGGCAUGCUAAUAUUAUUUAACACAAAAAAGAUGGUUAAAGAAGAAAGAAACAAAAUGGGCAUAAGACUUAUAUGAAACAAAUAAUACAAUGACAGGUGUAAGUACAAUCACAUCAAUAAUUACAUUUAAUAUUAAUGGUCUAAAAAGAUGCUGUCAGACUAAAUCAAAAGGUAAGAUCCAACUAUAUUCUCUUUGCCUUUAAAAACCUGAUUGAAACAAAGCCCAAAUGGAGCUCAUAUCCAAGGUUACCUGCAUCUGAGUCUUCCAGGCAGCUGUCUUAACUUUGUCUCAAGUAAACUCUUUAAAUUAUAUUUUGUGCCUCAGCCUCUUCCUUUUAGGUCAACACUUUUUAUAGCUGAAGAGUAGUCUGUGAUAUGCAUGUACCACAGGUUGUCUAACCAUUCACCCAUUUGGGUUGGUCCACUUUUUUGGCUAUUCUAAAGAUACAGAAAAAAAAAACUUAGUUUAUCCUACAUCCAACUAUACUCAACAUAGUACUUCACCUCUGGUCACCAAGAAGUGUGCGGGGAUUUCUCCCCACGAAGCAAUUCUCUGGCAGAUUCUUCAAUGGACACCAGCUUGGUGUCCCCUACCUCAAUUCAGUUCUGACAAUAUCUACGUAGAGAUAGCGUCAGAUCCCAUAGCUUGGGGGCUCAGUCCCGCAAGACUGCCUCAUGCUUCAGAUGCUAAUCACAAGCACAAGUUGUUGCCCUAGAGGAUAGAAGGCAACAACAACAACAAAAAAUCAGAGACCAGGGUGGUUGAAAUGAAUGUUAUUGCUGUAGUCACUGAUGAAUGAUGACAAGGGCUGGGGCAAUGCUACCCAGAGUGUGGUCUGUAGACCAGACCCAGCGUAUGAGCUGUUUGUUACCAAUGAUAUAAGUACGGAGAUUGAGGAUAAGCAUGGAGAAACUAUUAUAACAAAUUGAAAUACCAAUAUUAUGUGUUCUAAUAAAUAAAAAUAAGGCUUUUGUUCUCUAUGACUUUUCCAUAUAUUUUUCUCAUAAUUCAUUUUUAAUGUUUUACAUAUGAACUGGUCUGCGAUGAAUUGGACAUUUUUAAGAAGUGGUCCUUCCCCAUGGACAGCUUGGGAGACAAUGGUCUAAGGUCUUCUUUUAUGUUCUUCUGAGCUGUGGGCAAAGUGGCACGUGCAAUGUCAAGGAUAAGGAGUACGCCUUGUUUUUGCUCUUUCUUCCUUGUUGCUGGCUGGAUUGUGAAUGUAAUUACUGAGUUUGAAGCAACCAUUUUUGAAUCAAUAAUGACCUUGGAAAUGGAGGCAAUACAUAGCAGAGUAACACAUUUAGAGGGGCCAGGAUUCCUCACCCUGUGGAGCGCCAUAUCAGGUCUGGAUCACCUAUACUGGACUUACAUGGGAAAGAGAAAAAAUCUUCUCAUUUAUUGAAACCACUGUUUCUUUGGUUGUGCUGUCACUCACAGCCACCUUCAUCCUGAUAUAUCUAGGCUCCGCCCCAGUGGUUCUUAGGGUGGGCGGCCCCAGAGCAGCAGCCACAGCAUCACCUGGAAUCUUGUUAGAAACACGUAUCCUGCGAUCCUGAUACACUGAAUCAGAAGUGCUAGGUAAGGCCCAGUAAUCUGGGCUGUGACCUAUAGGUCAAAGCCGUGACCAAUCCACGUUUGAUUUACCCUCUGGCCAUUCUGAUUCUAGGUGUGAGUUGAUUUAUCCACAGCAGAUUCCCUUUCAUUGUAGUUUUCUGCAUUACAGGAAUGUUCUGGUCUUCUGCAUGUAUUAACUGAGAGACAAUUCCACAUUUACUGUCAAGAACUCCCUAGGCACACCUUCUGUCAAGUUUCUGAUUCAAAAACCAGUGUUUGAAAACCACUUCCUGAAACGUUGCUCACAUAAUAUUAAACCCUCUUUGUUUAUUAAUCCAAUGAAAUGUCUUACUUUUUAGAUAUCUGACCUGGCAAACUGACUGGAGU